CCAGUAGGGCCAGCAUCAGAGCCUGGGUUUUAUUUGCCUGUAACUACACCAUGUUACACAGCUCCUGCAUAUCACAUAUCACAGUGAUUUUCUGCUGCUAUUCAUAAAUUUCAAGUAGGUAACUGAGGGAGAGGGCAUUGAGGGUGAGGGGAUAGAAGUGUGGAGUGAUAUAGGUGCUCUUGCGAUGGAGAUGGGGGUAUAUAUGGCACAUAAACCAUGGGGUUGCAAUGGGGACUGGGCAGGGGGGAGACCACAGACCACCAGGCAACCAAACUCUAAGAUAAAUGUCCAAGGACUAUUAAUUCACCAACCUUGGGGCUCCCAGUGAGACCCCAGAAACGCUGAAACCCUAUUUCCUGUUUUCUCUUUUACUUGCUAGAUGUCCCAAUUCUUUUUUAGCAUAACUUGAUGUGACACCAAUGUCUUUGAUAUGUGUGUCUGAGAAAGCAGCUACUGAAAACCAUCUUCUCCAGCAAGCCUUCCAGGACUGCAGGUAAGGGUGUCUGUCACUACUCCCAGCAGCCCCCGAG
rnacentral:lncRNA from 1 species